rnacentral:antisense_RNA from 1 species
CCAAUGGUAUAUGAGCGGCCUGUGGGGUUAUGAAUAGCAGAACAGACUGGUGCUGUCACAGCCCACUCAUACCACACCUUCUUGGAAUUGCUGCAUCGCCAGAAACGCACACAGAUGGUUUGGCCUUCACGUACCGUUAUGGGCUGCUGUAAGGAGAAAGACAGGGAGGUUCAGGGUGAAGCUAUGAAUUAUACAUGGCAAUGUAUUAAGGCUCGGACCUCAUUGUACAGCUUGGAGGAAGAGAUGGGAGCCAGAAAGGAAGUGUACUCCCCGGGGAUGCUCACACCAUCAUCUGCACAGCAGGAGAGUCAAAUUAGUUCCAGAGGGAGGGAAAUGCAUACAGCUUUAUCCGCCGGUCAGCCUGCUUGGCUGCCCGCAGGGAAGCGUUCACCAGGGGUCCCCGUCCUGCUCCCAGCACCAUCAGUACCCUAAGAAAGAAAGGGAAGAGUCAAGCAGACUUGGCAUAUACAGAUAUAGGAGGUAAGAGAAGCCACACCCAUCCCAGGAUUCUCAUGGACUCACCCACUGCAAUCCUCUUACUAUAGUCACACAAAGUCCGGAAGUUGUGCCACCUGUUCAGUCAAAUACAGAAAAGUACAGUCAACUAGAUAUGGCCGACCAAUCACCACAGCUCAAGGAGACCUCCCUACAGGUUGCACCCUGUACUUCCCCUCACCCUAUCCCUUGCACCCUGGUACAGCAGCAAAGGGAGACAUACCACAUCCACGUUUUCUCCUCCCCACUGUACUCCUCUGUGUGUGUAGUUGGUGCAUUCUCAAUUAUAUCAUCUCUCAGGUCCUCUGGUGCCACCAAGGGUACCCGCAUCCAGAACUGCACAUGAACAGUC